CCCAGCCUGUGCAGCUGAGUGACUUAGAGAAGUCUUGUCACAAAAUUUAAGAAUGGGGCUAGGGGCUGUAGGCCCUGGCAGCAAAGCAACAAGAGGAGCCAUCUCAGCAGGCAGGAUCUCACUAUGUCACUAACUUGCCCAGACUGGGCUCAAACGCAGAGAAGUCUGAUAAUGUGAGAAAUCACGCCAUGAGGAGUCCUGGAUAGCCAGGGGAAAGACCAUGUGAAGAGAGUCUGUGGCCCAGCCUCCCCGCCGAGGACUUGUGUGCAGAAGCCAGCUUGGGUGGCUGUGCUCAGUCAGGACUUCCACAGACUGCACCCCCAGCGCCUCUGAUUGCAACUGCGUGAGCGCCGGUACAUGGGAACCAUUCAGCAAAGCCCCACUCAUCUUCACAGCUCUGAGAAAUAAUCAUAAACUGUGUUAAGUCGUUAAAUUCUGAAGUUAUUUGUUGCUGUGGUUGGGAUACAUGUUCCCCAGAGGUCAUGGGUUACAGGUCUAUCCCCAGCUUGGAACUACUGGGAGGCAGUGGAAACUGUAAGACCCAGGGCCUGGUGGGAGGUCAUUAGUCUUGUGGCUGUGGCCUUCAAGGGAAUUCAACGACAGUCCCUUCUUCUUCCUCCCUUUCACUUCCUGUCCAGUGCCACACACUCCCCACCACUGCCAUCUGCCAGCAGAGGCCUAAAAGUAACAGAUCCGCCUGAUUAUGGACUGGGACCAGAAUAAACAGC
rnacentral:lncRNA from 1 species